GUGUUCCCUGUCCUGCUUCCCCAGAGGAAGCCAGAAGAAGACCCCAGUUGCCAUGAACUCCGCCGUCACUAGCCGUGAGCACUCCACUUACUCGAGGAGUGAUGUCGUGCUCAGCUCCCAACCUAUGGCCAAGGCAGGAGGACAGAUAGGCAGCCCGGGAGUCCCGCAGCAGCUGCCUGGCCUAUGACAUCUUGGACAUCCUGCCAUGUUAUCUCUGUAUCUUCUUGGGGAUUCAGCACUUCCUCACAGCCCUGGGGGGCCUCAUGGCGGUGCCAUUCAUCCUGGCCAAGGACCUGUGCCUGCAGCAGGACCCCCUGACACAGAGCUACCUCAUCAGCACCAUUUUCUUUGCUCCAGCAUCUGCAUGCUCCUGCAAGUGUUUUUAGGGGUCAGGGGUUCUCCAGCCGGCCCAGGUUGUUCAGAUGCUGCUGACCAUGGGCAUGUUCAUCAGUGGAUUUCUGGGUUUUCUUCUAGACAACACCAUCCCCGCAUCUCCAUGCUGUGGAGGAUACCCGCCCCCUUAGUAGCUGUCUUGGUGAUCAGAUUGACCGUCGAGGCACUGCAGUGCUUGUCCUCAGAACAAGAACCCAGAGCCCACCAAAGGACUGGCGUGAAAGGAGCUGUAGCACUGUAUCCGUCCCACCCUCCACUGGCACCGGAUGGCUGCCCCACAUGACAGGAAGUGUUGGUGUGACCAGACCAGCAGCCCAGGAGCCAUGGGCUAGAGUGGGGCAUUGGGACCGAAUGAGCGGUAACAUGAACAAGCUGAAACACAUUCCUGCCCAGCCUGCCAAGCUGUGGGCAGUGACACGCUCUUAUUUGCCAGACUACAAGAGAAGAUCUGUGACCCUUCUGGGGGCCCAUACCUUGGGGCUCCCCAAGCCAGAGCUGUGACAUGCUGUAACACCCUCUUGCAGCUCCACGGUUGCUGGUGUCUUUGAGUUUUCAGGCACCACGGCGUUCCCCUUGUUGGGAUGCCAGUGCCCAAGGUGGAAGCCACUUGAGGCAUACCUGGUCCAGCCACAGCCUCACAUGGUUCUGACACCUGGAGCUGCCUGCCCUUCUGCAGCAGCUGGUGCACCUGGCUCUGUGGUGUGGCUGGACCCUGUGCUCACUCACACACCUCCCACUACUCCGCGCCUGGCUCACCCAUGAUGGGAAUGGGAUCUGGGCCAGUAGUGCAAGCUGAGGACAGCCUGCUGGGCUGAGUAGGCAGAGCCAGCCCAGCAGUUGUGAGCAAAACUUGGUCAGAGGCGCCACUGGUCACAGAAGUUUCUGGCUGGUGAAGUGGCACUGAAAGAAUCCUGUGUGACUUUGCUCAUCUCAGUUACUCAUUCUGUGGCCACAUCUCAGACUAGCCUUGGGGAUUCCCAGUAGCUGUGCCUGCAAUCCUCAAUUUCAAGCAGUUGUCUGACCACCACCUCCUAUUUUUCCAGCUCACUACUUCUAGUCCCCCAAGUCUAAUAACUCUUUAAUUGGCCAGGAUCUGAAUCUACCGUCCUCCCACCUUCCGCUGGUCCCCUCUUCCCUCCUUGAGCAACCUCAAUGCCACAGUCAGUCAUAAUAACCACCUUCUCGCAUUUGCAACGCCCUUAGUCUGCUCUCUUCUUUACACUCUCUUGGCAAAACCUGAACGCUGAUGAGAAAUAACUCUUCACUCUGCACCUGCACUCGUGCAGUUGAGCAUCUCUGGGGAAAACAUACAGUUGAAUGGAGUGGUUUUAGAUUCAGACCCUGAACUUCACGGGAUCCUCAGUGCCGCCUGGCAGGCAGGAACCCUUUCCCAAGCACACUGCUCUCUCUGCUAAAACUCUUUCCACCUCUGUCUUCUUCUUCUUUUUUUUUUUUUUUUUUUGAACUUCACGGGAUCCUCAGUGCCGCCUGGCAGGAAGGAACCCUUUCCCAAGCACAAGGCUCUCUCUGCUAAAACUCUUUCCACCUCUGUCUUCUUCUUCUUCUUUUUUUUUUUUUUUUUUUUUGAGACGCUCACUGUCACUCUGGCUGGAGUGUAGUAGUGCGAUUACAGAUCACUGCAGUCUUGACCUCUGGGCUCAAGGGAUCCUCCUGUCUCAGCCUUCCGUGUAGCUGGGGCUACAGGCAUGUGCCACCGCACUCUGCUAAUUUUUUAAAAAAUACUUUGUGGAGACAGAGUCUUGUCAUGUUGCCCAGGCUAGUCUUGAACCGCUCGGCUCGAGCAGUCCUCCAGCCUUGGCUUCCCAAAGUGCUAGGAUUACAGACAUGAGCCACCAUACCCAACCUCAGCUUCUUAUUUCAGAGAAAUCUGUAAAGGAGUAAUCAGAUGAGAAACUGUGCAAACACCUGCAUGUCUCCACUCCUAGCUUUGGUGCCCCUUGACUCUCCCUCCUGUUGGGUGAAUGAGCUGCCUGGCUCCUCCCUGAAGCUGGUUCCUCCCCUUGUGCUCCAGAGCCCAUUCCCUGAUUUCUAUUCAAGGGUUUCACUGCGACAAGUCUCCUAUCUUGCAUCAAGUUUUCUCUUUCUUUCAGUAACGCAUGUCAGCAUACACACCUGCUGUUAUUUCUGCUAUCUUAAAAAAAGAUUUUUUUUCUUAAAAAGAGACUUUUGUGAGUGUGUGCCAUGGUAGGCUUAAAGUAACAGGGUCCCGCCCAUCUAACAUGCUGUAAUAAAUGUGCUGGAGCUGAGGACCUGCGCUUAGCUGCUCCAGGAGUCCUGGAUGCCUCUCAUACCAGUCAAGAGCAGGCCCAUCCUCUUUCCUUACCCUACUGCUUCUGUGCCCACAGAAGCCCUUCACAUCCUGUCUCAUUCUGCCCUUUGUUCCUUUUCCUUUGGUUGACAGCUCCAGGACUUCAGAACAUUCCCUAUGUUCUCACCAAACAGCUGCCAGGCAGCCAGGCUCAGUUUUCCAAGUGGGUUUUCCUGUACUUUAUUUUCGUAUCGUGCUGUCCCCAGGCAGCCAAAGCAGGAUGAACAGCAGGAGAAGAGAGCCAGGCCCUCUCCUGGAACAGCCUCCUGGUCUUCCCUCAGCUGUACUUUUUUUUAUUGUCAGAACACGUAGUUUCAGAGCUUCAGGAACAAGGCAGCUUUGUGAGAAGCAUAUGCAAGAAGGGACAGAUUUCUGACAUUUCCAUAAAAGCACAAAGGCUUGUUUUGUUCAGAAUCAAGGUUGGAGAAGUAGCUGGUGGAUAAGAAGUAAUUGACGAGAUGGGCUUGGGGUAAUUAGCUUGAUUCAAUUAGCAUGAGGUGGAACUGAGUUACCCAAGCUAGAUGUCAGCUCAGCCCAGCCACCACCCGCCCACACCAUCUGCACUCAAUAAGCAUUUAUCUGUUGGAGCUUUUUCUGCACAUUCCAAGGUCGCUAUCAGAAUCUGAAUCCCCUGUUCUGAUAAUGCAGUGCCUAGAGCCACGGCCUCGCAGCUUCCCUCCUUCACCUCCAAUCUUGCUUCUUCCCGCCUCCACUUGACCUCCCAUGAUCCCCCUCCCAGUCAUCACCUAGAGGUGAUGCACAGAGUGGCCGACAGAGUGAACUCCAAGGGCUGGCUUCACAUUCCUACAUCCUAAUUCUUUAGAGGCAGGGCUUUUUUGUGACUUUAAACAACAAAAUUGUUCCCCAUUCAUUAACUUAUUGGGGAUAAAAAGAGUUAGAGGUGAGGUGAUCUGAGAUUCUUCUAUUAAAUGGUUUGGGGCUUCAGUUAAAUCAUUGUUUCUUCAUCUGUCAAAUGGCAGUAAUAACAGAGGCCCAACCUCCACAGGGAGCUGCUAUAACAACAACAACAUAAAAAUCCCCAAGGGGUACCCGUGAUGUUGGUUUCAUGUGUCAAGCUGGCCAAGCUAUAGUAUCCAGUUAUCUAAUCAGGCACUCCUUUAGGGGGUGUUGUGAAGGCAUUUUAUAGAUGUGGUUAACAAACCAGUCCACUUUAAAUUAAGAAGAUUGCCCUUGCUGAUGUGAUUGGGGCUCACCAUCCAUUAGCUGAAGGCCGUAAGAACAGAACUGAGGUUUCUGGGAGGAGACAUUCUUUCAAGACUGCACUGCCAACUCCAGCCUGAGUUUCCAGCCUCCUGGAAGCCCUACAGAUUUCAGACAUGCAGUCCCCACAAACAGAUAAACCAAUUUCUUAAAAUAAAUCUCGGUGUCUCUAUAUCGUAUUGGCACUGUUUUUCUGCAGAACUCUGAUUGCUACAGUACUGACUGAUAUAGGAAGAUACCUUCCCGAUACAAGUCCUUGGUGGGGAGGAAGGGAGAUUGAGAACCACGUGAAGGUAGUUUUAUGCAAUAACUCCAUCCCAGGCUAUGCCAAUACCCAAGGCUGCAGGAGAGAAGCAGAGGGCUGUUGGGCUCACAACCCAGCACAAGGUUGUGGGGGGAAGGGACACCUCCACAUCCUGCUGAGGUCCUCUCUGACUAGGGGCUGCUGGCAGGUAUGGCUCAAGGAAUGAAGUCGCAGCCUUGGACUAAAUAGGAUCAGGGUGGAGCUUGGUACAAAGAGGGAGGGGCUGGCUAGCACUGGCAUACAUUGCUUGAGGGCCUACUAUGUGCACGCCCCUCUGUAAAGCUGCAUUUCUUCUUUCCCACACAGCUGGCUUGGUGAGCCUCUAGGGGUGGCCAACCUGAGCUCCUGCAUUCCUGUCUUUCCAGCAGGAGUUCAAGCUGCCCCUGAGCACAAAGGCCCUUCCUGCCCAGCUCCUGGAGAGCCUCCCUCUGCCCACUCGGUGCGGUGAUUUGUAAGCUGUGAAGGGCUUGCGAAGCUCCUAUCCCUGCACACCCCGGGGGAAGUCCUUGAGUGCGGGCUCAUGCAUCUCAGGACUGCUUUGGAGUCACACAGGACUGGGUCUGGGUCCUAAGACUUAGCCGGUGUUUCAGACUCUCGCUAGGAGAUAACACAGUCCAAGCCUUUGGGAGGGCCUCAGUGCAGGGGAGGGGCUGCUAUGAUGCCUUGAAAACUGUAAAGAGCCAUGCAAGCCCAUUCUCCCCGCACACCCUGCAUUAGUCUGGGUUCUCCAGAGAAAUAGAGCCAAUAAGAUGUGUAUAUACGUAGAUACAGAGAAAGAGAGAGGUGAAAUAUUUAUUUUAAGGAAGGGACCCAUGCAGUUGUGGAGGUGCAAGUCUAAAAUCUGCAAGGCGGGCCGGCAGGCUGGGAAGAGCCGCAGUUCAAGUCCAAAGUUGGACUGCUGGCAGGAUUCCCUCUUUCUCCCGGGAGGUCGGUCUCUUUCGAUUCAGGCCUUUAACCUAUAGGAAGCAUUCUGAGGAUCAUCUGCUUUACUGGAAGUCUCCUGACUUAAAUGUUAAUUUCAUUAACAAUACCUUCACAGAAACAUCUAAAAUAAUGUUUGACCAAAUUCCUGGGUAUCACAGACUAGCCAGGUUGACACAUAAAAUUCACCCUCACCCCCAGUGUCCAAGCCCAGGUACACGUAUGCACCCUUUGCCCAGAAGCCUCACCAGAAAGCCCUCGGAACCCUCGGACCUCACUGUAGCUCCUGUUCAGGUGACUUUAUUACCAGGAGCAGCAGAUGAAUCUGGUUCCACCCAGCUGUCCUGUGGCACAGGGUUGAGGUCAGCACUGCCCCUGGCUCUCAGAGUGUGCAGGAUGAGCAGGUGGGCUGUGGAACUCUCUAGAACCCAUCAGGGCAAUGCCCUGUGCCCAGGACAUGCUGAAAGUACCUGGUGUUAUGUCACCUCCGAGGACAGAUCCUGCCUGUCCUCCUUGAAAGGCCCAUGGCCUGGGCCCCAGCUGUACUUUCUACCCCCUUAAUAGGAGCACAAUAGCAGCAGGCCAGCCCUUUGUGCCAAACAGUCCCUAAAGACCAACACGAGGCCGUGCUUCUCUUAUACUUUAUAAUAAUCAGAAACUAAAAUCAUCAAAAUGCUUCUGGAACAACCCACUCCAAAGAGUCCUGGAGGCCAAGGCAGGUGCAACCUUAGCUGCCAGCAUUCAACCUUGGGAACUGCCCACCUCAUUCAGUCCCUCCCCUCGCAGCUCCUCUUCUGCAUUACAAAUCUUCAUCGUCAAAGGUCUCUGUGCACUGCAACAUGAUCAUCUCUUCAUCAACGGGAAAGGAUGCUUCCUGCAAGACACAGGGUGGAAGAGGGUCACUUUUUAUCUGUGGGUCUUGGGCCCGAGGCAGAUAGGAAGGCUCCUGCAUCUCCGGUGUGCCCAGCCCCCAGACUCUAUCCUACGUCUCUUCCGCUGCAUUUUCACCUCCAGCUUGGGCCAGGAAGCAAGGGCUCUAAGGGGGGAAGGUCCCAUUUCCAUUUCACUCAACUCAGCAUUCUAUGACCUCCAGAAAGGACACAGCAGAACUGGCUUCUUUUUUAUCCUGGGGAUUUCCAGGUUCCCACAAGAGAGACAGAGGACCUCAUAAGGCUUUAUCCAAAUGCUCAUCAAUAGAAGACGGUGCACUGCACCACGGUGCUCCCACCAAUGAAACACCAUGCAGCUCAUUUCCAACAAAAAUAAUGAGACAGCGUGCUCUCUGUGGGAUACACUAUUUACAAAGGGCAAAGUGCAAAGCAAUGUGUACCGUAGGCUACUACUAUUUGUGUUUGAAAGAAUAUAUAAUAUCUGUAGAAUAUCUUUGGAUGAGUGUACAAGAAACUGGUCACUGUAGUUGCCUCUGGGGGAGGGUAUGGGGUAGGAAGCAAGGAAGAGAGAGAGACUAAGUGUCCAUUGUAUAUCUUUUGGUAACUUGUAAAUUUUAUGCCAUGUAUAUGGGUUACCUAUUAGGAGAUGAUAUUUUUUUAAGCAGCAGCACUGCAGCUGGUCAUGAUGGCUCAAUGCCUGUAAUCCCAGCACUUUGGGAGGCCAAGGCAGGCGGAUCACCUGAGGUUAGGAGUUCGAGACCAGCCUGGCCAACAUGGCGAAAUGCUGUCUCUACUAAAAAUACAAAAAAAUUAGCUGGGCAUGGUGGUGUGCGCCUGUAAUCCCAGCUACUCGGGAGGCCAUGGCAUGAGAAUCACUUGAACCUGGGAGGCAGAGGUUGCAGUGAUCCAAGAUCACACCAUGACUACACACCAUCCUGGGUGAAAAAAAAAAGCAGCAGCACUGUUUGCUUAGCAAGGGUUUCUCAGUCCCUAAAGGGACACUGUAAACAGUGAUCCCAGCCAACACCUCAGGACUCUCCAUGACUUCUUCCUCUAAAAAUAUGUUCCUGAGGCUUUGCUCCUUCUGUCUGUCUCCAUCCUAGCAGAAAAUGACCCCUGUAACUUGUCAGCCCUGCAGAUCAGAGUUGAUCCCCAUGGAACCAGGUGGCAUCCCUGACCCCAGUCAACCAUCUAAUGAAUGUGGGACCUGGUCCCAAGGGUGAUAUCCUCAUAGUGGGGACGACCUCCACAAACUGAGCCUUUCCUGCCCUGGAGAAGCAGUUCCCAUUCACCAUGCUCUCCUGAUAGGGGCAGGGAAAUAGGGAUCAAGAGUGUCAGGGAGGUGGGACCACAGUCUCCAGGCAAAUCUUGUGGGCCCCUUGUUCAGCAGGAAGACAGUGGCAGAGGUUGGGAGGAGAAUGCAACUUUUCUGUUUACACCAGAGUCUAUCAAAGCCUGAGUCCUCCUGCCCCAGAGCCACUUGGACAGCUCAUUCCAAAUGCAGAUUUCUGGGGCCCGUUCUUGCAGCACUGAGGCAUCGGGAAUCUAGGAGUGCUGAAGUUUGGCAUCUUUGCUUUGUUCUGUUGUUGUUGUUGUCUGGAGAGAGUCUCACUCUGUUGCCCAGGCUGGAGUACAGUGGCUUGAUCUCAGCUCACUGUAACCUCUGCCUUGUAGGCUCAAACAAUCCUCCCAACUCAGCCUCCUGAGUAGCUGGGACUACAGGCAUGUACCACCACACCCAGCUAAUUUUUAUAUUUUUUGUAGUGGUGAGGCUCUGCCAUGUUGUCCAGACUGGUCUUGAAAUCCUGGGAUCAAGUGAUCUGCCCACCUCAGCCUCCCAAAGUGCUGGGAUUCCAGGUGUGAGCCACUGCACCCGGCCAUACCUUUGCUUUGUAUGGAUACAAGAAUCCCUGCUUGUUAUCUUUUCUGCCAUAUAUGGAGAAGGAGGGGAGGCAAAGAUUGUCCUUUUCGUCUAUUCUCAAAGUCUUGAUAAAGUGGGCUAAUUUAACUGUAUCUGAGAGAAAGAGGGGACAACUGGUCCAGGGGACUGUCACCCAAGGAUUGGUGGGAAGGGGAGAGCAAACUGCAAGGAAGGGCUCCACAUAAGGAUUCACUGUGGUCCCAGAAGAAGGAAAUGAAGACUUAGUUGGAAAAGGGCAAGUUAUACCUUAGCCUAUUGAACAGGUGUCUUGACUAUUUUUAGACAAACAUUUGCUAUUAUUAUAACUUACCUUUUAAAUAAACAGUUGUAUUAUUGCUAAACUAGUAAAGAAAAAUCCAUGGCUAUGAAUUUGAAAGGACCUGUCCCCUUGUGGCUCAGGUAUAACCCCCCUUCUCUGACAAAAGCUUCCAGGAAUGGCCCUCCUAACCAAGAGUCCCACUGCUCAUAUCACUGUAAGUGGAACAAUUUGGAAGCAGACAUUAAUAUCCUUCAAAAGCUGACAGCAAAUAUUACCGAAGGUGAUGAAGACUGUAGAAGAUGAUGAAAUAGCCCAGCGUUUUGGGAAGGUGUCAAAGGUUCACACAACAUUUAUGAAUGCCUGCUGAGAGUCAGGCCCCUGGGAUCGGGUUCCUGCUUCAAAGGGCUCCCAGUCAAGGUCUGCCUUAGAGCAGUGGUUCCCAACCUUUAUGGCACCAGGGACCAGUUUCACGGAAGACAAUUUUCCCACAGACCUGGGGGGCAAGGGUGGUUUCAGGAUGAAACUCUUCCACCUCAGAUCAUCAGGCAUUAGUCAGAUUCUCAUAAGGAGAGAGCAACCUAGACCCCUUGCAUGAGCAGUUCAUAAUAGGGUCUGCACGCCUAUGAGAAUCUAACGCUGCCACUGAUCUGACAGCAGGCAAAGCUCAGGCUGUCAUGCUCACCCUCUGCUGUGCAGCUGUGUUCCUAGCAGGCCAUAGAUCUGUACUGGUCUGUGGCCUAGGAGUUGGGGACCCCUGCCCUAGAGGACACUUCUCUGUCUUUCCUGUUUCCCUGGCUAUCUUCCAUUCAUUCUACAGGAUGCAUCAGGCUGAAGGUGACCAUUCAUGGAGCAAGCCAGAGAGAAUGGAGAGUGUCCCUGCCCAGUGGCUCCUCAUGCUGGCAAGCACUGAACUGACAACAGAAAGGAAGAAAAGGCAACAAAUAUUCAGGAUCCUGAUCUUUCAACUCUGCUUCCCCCUCCCCUGAAAGAUUUGGGUUACAGUAUGAACCAAGCACAUGUAAAUUCUCAGACAGCCCAGACCUCUCCUUGAAAGGGCAGGGAGUUCUGAAUAUUGCCUGGCAAGGACAGGCUGGCAGCUUCUCGAUGGUUGUCUUUGCAGUCCAAGCUCAGCACAGAAACAGGAAUGUGUCUUCCAGCCAAUUGCAGCAAAAUGAAACUCCACUCACAGCUGAGAAGCACUUGAGUCACUCUGUAAGGUCGAUUUGGAGAGGACAAAGCCCUCCUCUGACAAUCCCACUUCUCCCCAAGUCCAUCUAGGCCUGGGUGGAACAGGGAGAAUGGAGGGAAAAUGUUGAUGUGUGGUUUCCCUGAAGCUCUGCUGAAAGGCCAGCUGGGUUACUAGGGACAGCUGUGGCCCCAAGGCCUCACAGGCACCCAUAGGCCAGGCUCCCCUUGAGAGGACAAUGAGAUAUUCAUUGGGAUCACAAGGAUAUGUCCCUCUCACCCCCAAAGCAGAAAAAUAAAUGUCCAGGAUUCUUUUUAGCCAUGAUAGCAGCACAGGUAUCUGAAGAACCUGUGCCUUCAGGCUCUAAGACCACAGGUUUUUCAAGCAAAGCAGCAAGGGAAUUUCAGUCCUAAAGGAUUUCUCUCAGAAAACACACCUUUGGGACAUUGUUAGUCACGCUGCUUCUUGUUUUAAAAUCUUUUCACAUCCUAUUUUGUGUCUUCCCACUUCAUGGGGUCAGCUAUCCUUUUCUCCCCUCCUUCCAUAUCCGUUCCCAUCAGCACCAUGAAAAGCAGCAACCCCCCUUUGCAGAACUCAGAGAGUCCCCUAAACUCAGGGCCCAUGCCUAUUUGCAUGUUGGCCCUUAUUCUCUGUGCCCCAGAGCCCCCUCCCCGCCUUCUCCUUCCAGGUCAGCUGGGAGAACCUGCCCGCAAGCUGCCCUGGGUGCUAGAGACCGAUGGAUUGUGUUCUUCCGAAAUUCAUAUGCUGAAGCCUAAUCCCCAGGGUGAUGGUGUUAGGAGGUGGGGGACUCCGGGAGAUCAUAGACUAGGGCAUGAAGAUGGGCCCCUCAUGAUGGGAUUAGUGCCCUUAUAAAACAGGCCCCAGAGCCAGGCGCUGUGGCUCACGCCUGUAAUCCUAGCAUUUUGGGAGCCGAGGUGGGUGGAUCAUCUGAGGUCAGGGGUUCGAGACCAGCCUGGCCAACAUGGCAAAACCCUGUCUCUGCUAAAAAUACAAAAAUUAGCUGAGCAUAGUGGCAUGCACCUGUAAUCCCAGCCACUCGGCAGGCUGAGGCAGGAGAAUCACUUGAACCCAGGAGGCGGAGGUUGCAGUGAGCCAAGAUCACACCACUGCACUCCAGCCUGGGUGACAGAGUGAGACUCUGUCUUAGAAAAAAAAAAAAUUUUUUUAAAGAAAGAGGUUCCAGAGAGAUUCCUUGCCCCUACACCAUGUGAAUUUUAUCCAGAAGGUGCCGUCUGUGAAAAACCGAGCCUCUGACUCUGCUGGCACCUUGGUCGUAGACUCCCCAACCUCCAGAACUGUAAGAAAUACAUUUCUGUUGUUUAUAAGCCAUCCAGCCUAUGGCAUUUAGUAUAUAAUGGACUUAAGGCAGGGAUACAGCAGCCCUCAGUGGAGGUUAGCAGGACUAACACACACUGGGAAUGGGGUGCAAAGUGAACAGAUGAGUUUCCACAACCUACAGCUGAUAACCUGGUAUGUCCCAGCCCUGCGCCAGGAUGGAAGAAUUUUCUACUCUGAAGAUGCCACAGAUAGUGUCAUCCCCAGGGCAAUGACACAAUCCUAGGACCAGCUCACUUCCAAUCACAGAAAAAAGGUGGAUCCCCAAGAAUACCCACUGAAUUAGGCACCAGAUCUGAUUUGGCUCUGUGUCCCCACCCAAAUCUCCUGUUGAAUUAUAAUCCCCAUGUGUUGAAGGAGGGGCCUGGUGAGGGGGUGUGUGAUUGAAUCAUGGAAGUGGAUGUCCCCCUUGCUGUUCUCAUGACAAGAGUUCUCACAAGAUCUGGUUAUUUGAAAAGUGUGUAGCACUUCCCCCUUCACUCUCUCUCCUGUCACCAUGUGAGGAUAUACAGGUUUCCCCUUUGCCUUCCACCAUGAUUGUAAGUUUCCCCAGCCAUGCCUCUUUUACAGCCUGUGGAACUGUGAGUCACUUAAACCUCUUUUCUUUAUAAAUUACCCAGUCUCAGGUAGUUCUUUGUAGCAGUGUGAGAAUGGACUAAUACAACACCCAUCUAGGGACUGCAGAGGAGAGGCCCCUGAACACCCCAGCAGGGGUGCACACACACACACACACACACACACACACACACUCUCUCUCUCUCCCUCUGUCUCCUCUCUCUGUCUCUGACUUACCACAUUCAUGCACAUGCAAACUCACACAUACACACCUGCGCACACACAAUCUCACAUCCACCCACACAGGGGCACAUGCUAUCUCACACCCUCUUCCUCACCUGGAGCUAGAUGUACUCGGAACCUCACUUUUGUCCAGGAAGCUUGCCACAUCAAAGGCAUCCUCAAAAAGGAUCUGAAAGAAAGCACAACACUUCAUGUGUUGGAAAUAACUUGACAAUUUCAUGCUUGCCCUGGGCUGCUGGGGAGAGAUGAGUGGAAAGGCUCUCUCUUUACACAUACCCCAGAGGGCAUGCAUGUCAGAGCUGGGGCCCACACCCAGGGGCUCUGCUUGCUGUUCUUCCUAGGGGGUAAAUGCUAAACUCUAGAGUGCCCAGGACAAACUGCCAACCCUGGAGGUGGCUGUGAGGGACAGGAAGAAAUGGGGAUUGUGAUUCCUCUUGCCGACGAAGGUGGGAGCUCAGGUGUGAGAUGCAAUUACCAGAGCCUCAGUUUACCACUGAGAAAAACCUCAUCAAAACUUCCCAAGGCGCACAGAUUAUUGGAGCCCAGGGUCCCCAGUCUAGCUGUCUCAUGCCAGGACAGCUGAAUCCAGAGGGUCAGGAAGGCUCUGGGUUAGGCUGCAGGCAGGCCAACUCCCAGGCCUGUGUCCCUUGCUAGCUGUGUGACCUGGGACAAGUUACUUCAUCUCACAAAUCCUCCUCUAUAAAACAGGAAUCACAUUAGUGUCUACUCAUAGGGCUAUUCCAAGAAUUAAGUAAGAUAAUGUAUGUGAAGUAUCUAGUUACAUUUGAACAUUAUCCACUUUAUAACAGACAUACCUGGCACAUAAUUGAACAUUAUCUGCUUUAUAAGAGACAUACAUGUUCAUUGUGGAAAUUUUGGAAAAUAGAAACAGAUCAAGAAAAUAAGAAUUACUGAGAAACAAUCCCACCCAGAUAUCCAUUGUUGACACAUUGAUCUAAUUCUCUCCAGUCACUUCCCUAGGUCUAUAAUAUAUAUUUCCAAUUUGGAAUCUUGCUAUUUAGACAGUUUUUCAUCCUGCUUCCCCCUAAUGUGUUAGAGAAUAUUAAAUAUGUUACAGAAACAUGAUUUACACUUACAUGACUGCCAGAUUUAGCAAAUACAAAUACGGGAUGCCUAGUUACAUUUUGAAUUUCAGAUAAAGAAUGAAUAAUUUUUAGUAUAAGAAUGUUUUGAAUCAUGCAUGGGACGUUUUUGUAUUAAAAAUUGAACUGGGCAUGCUUUACUUUAACUGACAUCUCCUUUGCACUGGCAAUCACGCCUAGGAGAGGAGAGGAAGUUCUCUGACCCUGAGUUGGCAGGUACUGGCAGGUUCCGCCAGGGUCUCUCCUCUCCUCUUCCCUUCCUGCAACACACAGCUCUUCCAAGAGGAUUGGUGUCUGCCCUUUCUGUCUUCCUUCAAUUGACUUCCUGGAACUGAAUCCCUUGGGACUCUGGCCCCUCUCUUAGUUUUCCGGACAUUUUCUGUUGUCCUUCUACUUGAUAUCUCUGUGGUCAUUUCAAAGAGGAUCUGGAAAGGGGCCACAGAAAGACCUGUGCUUCAGUGUCCAUCAGCUCUGAAGCCUAUCAGCUACAUGUUGCUCCCUGGCAGGCCUGAAACAGGGACCCAGAACUGAAAUCCCUGUCCUUAAGCAAUCAGCCCACCAAAGUCGCAGGCCACACAUUGUGCUCACCUGUGCAAAUCCCCCUCACAAGCCAGCCUGAGAGGGGACCCCAGACCAGGCUCCACAGCCUUUCCAGAGUGCCACCACACUCACAGGGAAGCUCAUGUCUGAACUGAAAUGGAGCAUUCCAGAGCCUCCUGGGCCCAUCUGACCGUGCUGCUGGCCUCUAACACAACAGUUCUGCAGCAGAACCUCUCCAGGUGGACCAGGGGCUGCAGUGGUGUCACUGCUCAGCAGGAGUAACUGUGGCUUUGUCCCUGCCUCGGGCAUGGGAGUUCUCUGUUCUGCCUACCUUAUCGCCCAGCCCUGGCCUGGCCUAAACCUGGGCACAGCAGUGCAGGCAGAGCCCUGCUUCUGGCCACAGCUGAGGGAAUCUGCUGCCAGCUUCCCUUAAUACCCAACAAACAUCAGCCCAUAGGCCUCCCUGAAAAACCCAGAAAAGCUGUUUCCAUGAUUUGGAGACAUUAGAUUCUGGUUGUUUUCUCUUUGGAUGUGUUCUUCCUGGGGAAGUGUUCGUGCUGGCACAGUCAAAUUUGGCAGAAUUGCUCAGGCAUUUGGUAGAUACUGUCAUGCAUCACUUACUGAUGGGGAUAAGUUCUGAGAAAUGUGUCCUUAGGCAACUUUGUCAUGUGAACAUCACAGAGUGUAUUUAUGCAAACCUAGAUGGCAUAUAUACAUAUAUUUAUCUUUUCUUUUUUGAGACAGAGUUUUACUCUUGUCACCCAGGCUGGAGUGCAAUGGUGUGAUCUCGGCUCACUGCAACCUCCACCUCCCAGGUUCAAGCGAUUAUCCUGCCUCAGCCUCCAGAGUAGCUGGGGUUACAGGCACUCGCCACCACGCCCAGCUAAUUUUUGUAUUUUUAGUAAAGAUGGUGUUUCACCAUUUUGGCCAGGCUGGUCUUGAACUCCUGACCUCAGAUGAUCCACCCACCUUGGCCUCCCAAAAUGCUGGAAUUACAGACUGGCAUCACCACGCCCAGCCCAUAUAUUUAUUUAUAUAUAUUUUUUCAUAUGGAAAACCAAAAAUCCAAGUUCCAUUACUGAAUAUCAAUUAUUUACCCUACUUGAUGUGCAAUGCCAAUAUCGAGUGCCAUAUAUCAGGUUUCCAUAUAUGCUCCAUUAUCAUCUUAUGUGACCACCAUUGUAUAGGUGGUCUGUUGUUGCCCAAAACAUCUUUAUGUAGCCCAUGACUGUAUUUUCCUUUCGUUUUCUUCAUGUGAGACUCCAGGGCUUGGCACUUUGGGGCUGUAAACACAUCUGUUUGGCUGCCCUUUCAUACAAGCCUUGGGUAUGAGGUCCUAAUCUUCUGGCUUUUUUUGAGCCAUCAUGGAACAGAACGCAUGUCUUCUCAUGGUGGACCCAACAUCAGAGGAAAACCAGAUCAGAAGCCACAGUCUGGUGGACCCAUGUUCGGGGGUCGGGGAAAGGACCAAGGCAGUAGCUGGUAGGCCAUUGAACAUCUGCACUGGGAGUUCCCUCCAAUAGGACCUACUGCACUAGCCACGAGGGAAGCUUGUUAAAAAUGCAAUUCCUGAGGCCCCACCCUCAGAGGCUCUGAUUCAGUGUGUCUGGGAUAGAUAGAGUCUUGCUGUGUUGCCAGGCUGGAGUGCAGUGACACAAUCAUAGCUCACUGCAGCCUUGACCUCCUGGGGUCAAAGGAUCCUCCUGCCUCAGCCUCCUGAGUACCUGGGACUACAGGUGUACCACCACCACACCUUUUUAUUUUUUUUUAGUUUUUAGUAGAGACGCAGUCUCACUGUGUUGCCCAGGCUGGUCUCAAACUCCUGGGCUCAAGCAUUGCUCCCACCUUGCUCGGCCUCCCCAAGUGCUGGGAUUACAGGUGUGAGCCACUGCGCCCAGCCAGGCACCUGACUUUAAAAAAAAACUCCACAGGUGAUUCAGUUGAGAAGCAUCAGGGGAGAUAAUGGAGGGUUGACCAUCAACAGGUGACCAAAGGGCAGAGUAAUGUGAAAAAAUGUGUGAUGACAGAGACACAGUCACUGAAGCAGGAGCUGGGAGUUCUGGGCAAGUCACACUGCUGGUUAGGCCUGCAAACUGGAAGGACAGGAAUGGGUGACAUCUCUGUCGUUCUCCAGGCUUGGGCCUGAUAGCUGAGGAACCUUCUAAAAAACGGAGGCAUUCCAGGGCUGUAACUCCAGGGUCAGAGACAAUCGGACGCUCUCUGGCCCUAAGGCUCCACAGAGAGACUCUGGGAAACUAGCAUGUCGUCUCCUCAAAGGCGCCCCGACUGAGGAGCAUUUGGAAAGUCAGGGCAAGGGGGUGGCCUGUAUCAGGCGGAAGCCAUGGAUGCUAAAUGUCCACGAAGCACAGGGCAUGUGCAGAAUGCGAAUCGGCUGCGCCUGGGCUAGAGGAGCGAGCGUGGGCCGUGUGGUAGAGCAGUGUUCUGAGGCCGUCCUCAUACUGGAAGAGCAGCUGUGGGCCCACUUUUAUCUCCGUGCAGGGCGACCUCAAAUGCUACCUGAUGCUCUGCUUUGCAGACUAUGGCCACGGCCAUUCUGACUAGCGUUCUGAAAGCUGAGAAAUGCAUUUACGGUAGCAGUUGUGGUAACCUCCCCUUCACAGAGCGAUCCCAGUGCUCUUUGGGGUGGGAACUGACGGCCUUUCAAGGGCUGGACCUGAUUGGUCCAAGUGUGAUUCCCUCUAUGGCCAGUCAUUGGCUCAGCAGGCUGGCAAUUUGGCCAGUUCCAACCAAUGAGAGGGGAGGAGCGGUUCCGGAAAAGUUCUUCCUUAACUCUUAAGAAAGAGCUUUCGUAGGAAAUCUUUGUCUUACCUGAUGUAGAGUAGGAAGAAAGACAGUUCGAUUGCUCUAGCUGCCAUUCCAUAGCCACAGGAGCCGGAGGAGGUGGGGAGGGCAGGGAAAGAUAAGAAACUGAGCAGAGCCAAGAGAGGCCUGAAUCCACGCGGACAUGGUGAGCUCCUCUGCCUGCCUCGGACCUCCCCGGGUGUGAGGAGUGCAUUUCUUCGUGGUUUAAUAAUCCAGGCCCUGGCAGCCCAAAGAAUCCCAACUGAGACAACCUCUCAAGACUUGUCUUCUGCCAUCCCCAGGGAAAGGCCAGGAAACUAACCGCAGAAAAACAAAUACUGUUCCGUGACCCCAGGGAUUAGAAAAUCAGAAACCGGCCGGGCGCGGUGGCUCACGCCUGUAAUCCCAGCACUUCGGAAGGCCGAGGCGGGUGGAUCACGAGGUAAGGAGAUCGAGACCAUCCUGGCUAACACAGUGAAACCCCGUCUCUACUAAAAAUACAAAAAAAUUAGCCGGGCGUGGUGGCGGGCGCCUGUAGUCCCAGCUAUUCGGGAGGCUGAGGCAGGAGAAUGAGGUGAACCCGGGAGCCAGAGCUUGCAGUGAGCCGAGAUCGCGCCACUGCACUCCAGCCUGGGCGACAGAGCGAGACUCCGUCUCAAAAAAAAAAAAAAGAGAAAAAAGAAAAUCAGAAACCGACCUUGGGAGCCAGAAGGCAAACUGCACCUCCAACCUGCUAAAUGCAAAGCCCUGGUGUCCCCAGGCGAGGGCGAGGGUGGUUCCCGUGCCCCAUCCACGCCACCCCGGUGGGCCUGCUCACCUCCUCGGGCGUGGAGACCAGCGAGCAGCUGGCCCCCUGGCUGUCCACGCCGCUGUCCUUCACGCUGCC
rnacentral:lncRNA from 1 species